rnacentral:rRNA from 1 species
UACGUAGGGUGCGAGCGUUGCCCGGAUUUAUUGGGCGUAAAGGGCGCGUAGGCGGCUCGGCACGUCCGUUGUGAAAUCGCCCGGCUCAACUGGGCGGGGUCAGCGGAUACGGUCGAGCUUGAGCAAGCUAGGGGGUAAUGGAAUUCCCGGUGUAGUGGUGGAAUGCGUAGAUAUCGGGAGGAACACCAGUGGCGAAGGCGGUUACCUGGGGCUUUGCUGACGCUGAUGCGCGAAAGCGUGGGGAGCGAUCCGG